CCUACGGGGCGCAGCAGUGGGGAAUAUUGGACAAUGGGCGAAAGCCUGAUCCAGCCAUGCCGCGUGUGUGAAGAAGGCCUUCGGGUUGUAAAGCACUUUCAGUGGGGAAGAAAGCCUUGGGGCUAAUACCCUCGAGGAAGGACAUCACCCACAGAAGAAGCACCGGCUAACUCCGUGCCAGCAGCCGCGGUAAUACGGAGGGUGCGAGCGUUAAUCGGAAUUACUGGGCGUAAAGCGCGCGUAGGCGGUCUGAUAAGCCGGUUGUGAAAGCCCCGGGCUCAACCUGGGAACGGCAUCCGGAACUGUCAGGCUAGAGUGCAGGAGAGGAAGGUAGAAUUCCCGGUGUAGCGGUGAAAUGCGUAGAGAUCGGGAGGAAUACCAGUGGCGAAGGCGGCCUUCUGGACUGACACUGACGCUGAGGUGCGAAAGCGUGGGUAGCAAACAGGAUUAGAUACCCGAGUCGUC
rnacentral:rRNA from 1 species